GUGGGGAAUAUUGGGCAAUGGGCGCAAGCCUGACCCAGCAACGCCGCGUGAAGGAAGAAGGCUUUCGGGUUGUAAACUUCUUUUACCAGGGACGAAACAAAUGACGGUACCUGGUGAAUAAGCCACGACUAACUACGUGCCAGCAGCCGCGGUAAUACGUAGGUGGCGAGCGUUAUCCGGAUUUAUUGGGUGUAAAGGGCGUGUAGGCGGGACAGCAAGUCAGAUGUGAAAACCAGAGGCUCAACCUCUGGCCUGCAUUUGAAACUGUUGUUCUUGAGUGUCGGAGAGGUAAUCGGAAUUCCGUGUGUAGCGGUGAAAUGCGUAGAUAUACGGAGGAACACCAGUGGCGAAGGCGGAUUACUGGACGAUAACUGACGCUGAGGCGCGAAAGCGUGGGGAGCAAACAGGAUUAGAAACCCUUGUAGUCC
rnacentral:rRNA from 1 species